rnacentral:rRNA from 1 species
GACGAACGCUGGCGGCGUGCUUAACACAUGCCAGUCGAACGGUAAGGCCUUUCGGGGUCCACGAGUGGCGAACGGGUGAGUAACACGUGGGUGAUCUGCCCUGCACUUCGGGAUAAGCCCGGGAAACUGGGUCUAAUACCGGAUAGGACUGCGCGGUGCAUGCCGUGUGGUGGAAAGAUUUAUCGGUGCAGGAUGGGCCCGCGGCCUAUCAGCUUGUUGGUGGGGUAAUGGCCUACCAAAGCGACGACGGGUAGCCGGCCUGAGAGGGCGACCGGCCACACUGGGACUGAGACACGGCCCAGACUCCUACGGGAGGCAGCAGUGGGGAAUAUUGCACAAUGGGCGCAAGCCUGAUGCAGCGACGCCGCGUGAGGGAUGACGGCCUUCGGGUUGUAAACCUCUUUCAGCAGGGACGAAGCGUGAGUGACGGUACCUGCAGAAGAAGCACCGGCCAACUACGUG